rnacentral:rRNA from 1 species
AUUGAACGCUGGCGGUAGGCCUAACACGUGCAAGUCGAACGCGAAAGUCCUUCGGGCUGAGUAGAGUGGCGGACGGGUGAGUAACGCGUAGGAAUCUGUCCUGUAGUGGGGGAUAACGUUUCGAAAGGAACGCUAAUACCGCAUACGCCCUACGGGGGAAAGCGGGGGAUCUUCGGCCCUCGUGCUAUAGGAGGAGCCUGCGUCGGAUUAGUUAGUUGGUGAGGUAAAGGCUCACCAAGGCGACGAUCCGUCGCUGGUAUGAGAGGAUGAUCAGCCACACCGGAACUGAGACACGGUCCGGACGCCUACGGGAGGCAUCAGUGGGGAAUAUUGCGCAAUGGGCGAAAGCCUGACGCAGCCAUACCGCGUGUGUGAAGAAGGCCUUAUGGUUGUGAAGCACUUUAAGCGAGGAGGAGGCUCUUGUGGUUAAUACCCAAGAUGAGUGGACGUUACUCGCAGAAUAAGCACCGGCUAACUCUGUGCCAGCAGCCGCGGUAA